UCUCUGCCCCGGCAAUUACCGUAACAGCGCCCCGGAGGACGGGCAAGAGCCGGUACCUGAGCCCCCGCCUGGGCCUCGCUCCCUGCCCGCGGGGAGCCGGGCCUGGCCUUGCGGUAGUCACAGGGCUCCGAGGAGAGGCUCACUGUGGAGUCGCCAUCGUCCACAUCGUUGUGAGCUCUCCACCCAGAUCAGGACGCAAUCAGAGCUCUGCGACACGGAGGGGGUGAGGAGGGGCCUGACGGCCUGUUUGGGCGAGGGGUCCCUGUCAUUCCGCUGGGGAGGGGAGUGCAUCCCUCCGGCUCUGGUUUCCCGCUAUAGUGCAGUGAGGUGGAGCACGGGGAGGCACCCACUGGGCAGAGAUGGCAAAUUCAUGUGUGUGUGACUGCCCCAAAACUCAGCAGAUGUGCAUCACUGUAGUGUAAUUACACAGAGACACUGUCAGCCUGAAGGAACCCAACCUGUAAAUUACACCCAUACUGAGUAUGGAAGAUUGGAAAGCAGCAAGGACAAUUUCAAACAGGAACUUCAAAACCAAGAUAGAACCAAAGACUUUUUCAGGAUGAAAGAACACAUGUAAGGAGGAUCAAGACCCUACAGUGAGAUCAGCCAUUAGCUAAUUAAAUAUGUGACUAAAAUUCAUCAUUUUAAAUAGCAGUCAUAUUGAUGGGGAGCAAUCUGGUCAGCAAACAAAUGAUAGUGGAUUUUUUUCCCCCCAUAUCUUCAGAGAGAAACAUUUAUCUUAAUAAGAUUCACUAUGCCAUAAUACACGCGGAAUAAGUCAAUGCUUACUAAUUAAAGGACAGUGUCAACCUGAUUUUCUAAACAGCUAAUUAAAAUAUGUAGCAUCGAAUACUGCACUUCUUGCAAAGUAUGCUGUUUAAAAAAUACAUCCCUGUAAAAGUUACUUGUUUUCCUAUUCCCUUGUGUUUGCUUUUUUAAUUGGUUUUUCAACAAAGGAGGAUCUGCUGAACCAAGGUUCUAUUUCUGUAUCCAGUUCCAUUAACGCACACCCCCGUACUUAGGUUGUAGGCCUGAAAGGCUAGGCAAGGAAAG